CUAGAAAGGGACGUCUCUAAUGUUUUCUAGGCAAACAGGGUGUGCUUGUCGAAGAGAUAUUCUGCCGAGCCAGAUUCGGGCGCUCCCAUCUUGCGCAAGUUGGUCACGUGGUCACUCAAUUCUUUGAUGGCUUUCACCUGCUCAUUCAGGGCACUAAUAUACACAUGAUGAUACUUAAUUCUCUCAGAAAACCUUUGGCAAAGACACUUUCUACAUCUUGAAGGCAAGGAAUCUGAAUCUUGAAGAGAUUAAAUGAAUUGUCCAAAGUCACGUGGGGGUUUGGGAGAAGGAAAAUCAUGAACACACAUUCUUCUACUCUGGAGAAGUGGGGAAGGUGACCUGGGAAACCAUCUGAAAGGGAGCAGGAUGGAUUCUAUAAAAUAUAGAGUGUUCAAUGAAAACAACCUGAUGCUCCUCCCAGUACCAUCACAUUUUUCUAGCUGCAUAUCCUUAGGAACCACAUUCUACUUGUGUAGGAGCUGCGACAGUAACCAACUCAUCCUGCCCUACUCACAGUAUAGCAUCUUUAGGCAUUGACUACAAUCAGCCAAGUCACCGGCUGAGGGGAAGAACAAGAACCAACCUUGAACUAUGAUCUAAGACAAGUACUGUACCUAAGGUCCUAAAACAUAUUGGUGAUAUGGAAGGUAGACAAAAUGGCCAAAUAGAAGCCUUCACCCAUUGUUCUCCCUGCAGAAACACUAAAUUGAACAACUAUCCACACAUAAAUCACCUUCAUAUGAAGCAAAAAUCAGCCACAUUAAACAAUGAUGAGUUCAAAUGGAAACAUACAGCCUUUCAACACUGGCUCCAAGAGAUGGCAUCUAGAAGAAACAGACUGAUUCUGCAGAGUUCUGAAGGGAGCAGGUGACUUAGCAAUUCUGUCUUCAGUUUCUCUGUGAACAUCAUCAAUGUUUUCCUGUGCUCCAGUUGUCAAACUUCAUCAGCGAAAUGUUGGGGUCAUUUAAAGCUGCUGCUUUGCAUUCACUGAAACGACUAACAACCACAAGGAAACAUGAUCACUGGUGAAUUCUUUGAACCCAGGUUCACUCUUCACUUCAAAAAUUUCACCAUCAGCUCAAAGCAAAUAUUUAACUUCUCUAGUCCCAACACAGAAGGUGAUGGUGGAGGACUGAAGUCAAUCAUCAACUAUCACAAUGGUCAGCAUUCAAAGAACUCUAAAUACAAGCCUCAGAGUCAGUGACUCUCUAGGCUUUCUCAACAGCCUUUCAGGAGUUCCUAUUACUCACAUUUGAAAAGGCUUAGCCAUUUAUCACUAUCAGUCCCAUAUUGCCAUUAGUUCUCAUCCUUGCCUCUAUCUCCUAAUGUUUAUUUUGAUUUUGCACAAAAUUAUAUAGCCUGUUUGUCUUAAAAUCCAAGCUAUCAUAUGUAUCAAACUUUUUUUAAACUCCAUAUACAGAGGAAAGUCCAAGAGAUGUAAAGGGAAAAAUGAUUCACUAUCUCAUAAUUUUACCAGUAACAUCCAUUAGCACGCCACCAGCUUCAGUAACAAUAAUGGCAGCUACUGCAAUAUCCCAGCAGUGAAUUCCCAUUUCAUAAAAUGCCUCUGCUCCUCCACUUGCCGCAAUGCACAUAUUAGUAGCUGCUGUUCCAACACUCUGGAUCCUCAAAAAUAGUAUUCAAAAAUGGCAGAUUGAAAAAAUAACCUUUCAAGUAAGGUAUUCCUCCUAACUUCAGUUUGAAUGUUGAUUGAGAUAAGUUGAACCAAUCUAGAGAAUAAAUGUAAAAAAAGAUGGUAUUUAAUCUUAAAAUAAAAAUAUAUAAAAUCCAGUUAUCGUGAUAUACUAUAUAAAUCCCAAAACUAAUCCUCACAAAGCAAUAAUUUAAUAAGAUAAACAUGAAAGCAAUAAUUUUGCAGAAAAAAAGCCCUAAAAAUAAUGCUAUAAUUCUACUAUAACAGCAUGCAAAUAUAUUCAUAUUUUUUUAAACCCAAGGCAACCACAGCUUAUUUUACACAGAUACACACACACAUGCACACAUACACAAUGCACAAUAAUCUCUAGGGAGCAUAAAGUAUCAUGAUAUUGAUCAUUCCCAACUGGAUGUGCAUCAUAUCUAGACCUAAAGGGAUUGCAACCCACCUGGGUUCUGCACAAACCUAGGCCUCUCUUGAAAGAUUACUACAGGUUUUUCCUCUCAUAGCACCUCUUCCUUGAAAAUACAGCAAGGUAAGAUGAAUGUGUAAGAUAUAAGUAAGAAUAAGUAAGAUACUACUUGAUAGCAAUUAUAGUAAUAACUUAUUCAGUAAAGAAUCAUCAGCCGGGCGUGGUGGCUCACACCUGUAAUCCCAGCACUUUGGGAGGCCAAGGUGGGCAGAUCACAAGGUCAGGAGACCGAGACCAUCCUGGCUAACACGGUGAAACCCCAUCUCUACUAAAAAUAUAUAUUAAAAAGAAUUAGCCAGGCGUUGUUGCGGGCACCUGUAGUCCCAGCUACUCAGGAGGCUGAGGCAGAAGAAUGGCGUGAACCUGGGAGGCAGAGCUUGCAGUGAGCCAAGAUCGAGCCACUACACUCCAGCCUGGGCAACAGAGCAAGACUCCAUCUCAAAAAAAAAAAUCAUCAAUAAAUGUUAAAAUUAAUGGGUAAAAGUUUGAUAUUUUUGGUAUCAAAGUAUCUCUCCACAAGAUAUAUAAUAAGUACAGUGAGGAAAAAAUAGCAUUUUUACAAUGAUCUAUCUACCAUUACCAAGUAAUCAAAGUUAAUAUCACCCAUAAUAGGACAAAAAGAUACCAUGUGCCUCCUGAUAUGAUGCACUGAGAAGUACAGAACAUUACUUCUGUGACAUUCCUGCCAAAAAUUCAUAAUCCAAAUGUAAUCAUAAAUAAACUAGACAAAUUCAAAUCAAGAGAUAGACCACGAAAUAAUUGGCCUAUACUUUUGAAAAAUGUCAAGGUCAUAAAAGAUAAAGAAAGACCAAGCAAGUUAUAAAUUAAAGGAAACUGAAGAGAAAUGAGAACUAAAUGCAAUCAAUGUAUGAGUCUGGAUUGGACAUUGGGUUAAAAUUUUUUUCAAAAUUUGAAUAAAGUCUUUAUAUUAGAUUAUGUAUCAAUGUUAAUUUCCUGACUUUUAUAAUUGUGCUGUGGCUGUGUUAGACAAUGUUCCUUUUUAUUAAAGAAAUACACACUGAAAUGUGUUUUUAGAAGAAAAAGAUCAUUAUGUCUGCAAGUUAAUUGCAAAUGGUUUCUAUUCAAACUCCUUUUGUGACUGUUUAAAGCUCUGGAAAUAAAGCAGUGGGUUCUAUUU
rnacentral:lncRNA from 1 species